GCAAGCCUCAACUUGCGGGACGGUGCCCAGGGCGAUGCUGGGGUUGAACAGGCUGCCCCAGGUCUGCGGUAGGCUGGCCUGCCAGUUCCACGUGGCCACGGUGCUCCAGUCGCCGGUGUUGAGGCGCUGGAUGGAGGUGCCCUGAGGCGUGUUGUUGUUCUCAAUCACGCCGGCGCCAACGUUGGUGCAGCUGUGGCCGGCCGCGGGGCCGUUCGCGGCGAUGCUGUUGAAGCCCUGCGAGUUGGCGCCGUAGCAGAUGAAGUCCGCCACCGACCAGCGCACGCCGUCCGUGCACUUGGUCAGCAGCGCAAAGCCGUCCCAGCCGCCGUUGCUGUUCUGCAGGUUGCCCUGCAGGUCAAUCACCAGCGCCGUCCAGUCGAAGUUGGGCGUCUGCAGCCGCGUCUCGCUGAUGACGGUGAUCUGGGGUGACGUGAACGGGAACACGUUGCCGUGCAGGCUGCCGCUGGCGGUCUGCGGGUUGCCGUUGAACGUGUACUGCGCCAGCCACAGGUCUUGCCUCCAGUCGAAGCCGGCAGGCACAAUGAUCUCAAUCCACUCCCGCUUGUCGCUGUUGCCGCCCUGGGGGUUCUGGUCAUAGUGGAACUCAGAGAUGAACAGCGACGGGCAAUCGUCGCAUGGCGGGGGCGGCGCGGGGCUGGGCGGGGCAGGUGAAGGAGGCUCCGGGCUGGGCGGCGCGGGGCUGGGCGGCCGCGGGCUGGGAGGCGCAGGUGACGGAGGGGCAGGUGAAGGCGGCGCAGGGCUUGGUGGACGGGGACUGGGAGGUGCAGGCGAUGGAGGAGCUGGUGACGGCGGUGCAGGAGAUGGCGGGGCUGGAACGGGCGGCGCCGGCGAGGGAGGCGCAGGCGACGGCGGCGCAGGGCUGGGAGGCGCAGGGCUGGGCGGCUGGGGCGAGGGCGGCUCCGGCGAGGGCGGCUUGGCGAGGGGCGGCACGCCGCAAGCCUCAACUUGCGGGAUGGUGCCCAGGGCGAUGCUGGGGUUGAACAGGCUGCCCCAGGUCUGCGGUAGGCUGGCCUGCCAGUUCCACGUGGCCACGGUGCUCCAGUCGCCGGUGUUGAGGCGCUGGAUGGAGGUGCCCUGAGGCGUGUUGUUGUUCUCAAUCACGCCGGCGCCAACGUUGGUGCAGCUGUGGCCGGCCGCGGGGCCGUUCGCGGCGAUGCUGUUGAAGCCCUGCGAGUUGGCGCCGUAGCAGAUGAAGUCCGCCACCGACCAGCGCACGCCGUCCGUGCACUUGGUCAGCAGCGCAAAGCCGUCCCAGCCGCCGUUGCUGUUCUGCAGGUUGCCCUGCAGGUCAAUCACCAGCGCCGUCCAGUCGAAGUUGGGCGUCUGCAGCCGCGUCUCGCUGAUGACGGUGAUCUGGGGUGACGUGAACGGGAACACGUUGCCGUGCAGGCUGCCGCUGGCGGUCUGCGGGUUGCCGUUGAACGUGUACUGCGCCAGCCACAGGUCUUGCCUCCAGUCGAAGCCGGCAGGCACAAUGAUCUCAAUCCACUCCCGCUUGUCGCUGUUGCCGCCCUGGGGGUUCUGGUCAUAGUGGAACUCGGAGAUGAACAGCGACGGGCAAUCGUCGCAUGGCGGGGGCGGCGCGGGGCUGGGCGGGGCAGGUGAAGGAGGCUCCGGGCUGGGCGGCGCGGGGCUGGGCGGCCGCGGGCUGGGAGGCGCAGGUGACGGAGGGGCAGGUGAAGGCGGCGCAGGGCUUGGUGGACGGGGACUGGGAGGUGCAGGCGAUGGAGGAGCUGGUGACGGCGGUGCAGGAGAUGGCGGGGCUGGAACGGGCGGCGCCGGCGAGGGAGGCGCAGGCGACGGCGGCGCAGGGCUGGGAGGCGCAGGCGACGGCGGUGCUGGGCUGGGCGGCUCCGGCGAGGGCGGCUUGGCGAGGGGCGGCACGCCGCAAGCCUCAACUUGCGGGAUGGUGCCCAGGGCGAUGCUGGGGUUGAACAGGCUGCCCCAGGUCUGCGGUAGGCUGGCCUGCCAGUUCCACGUGGCCACGGUGCUCCAGUCGCCGGUGUUGAGGCGCUGGAUGGAGGUGCCCUGAGGCGUGUUGUUGUUCUCAAUCACGCCGGCGCCAACGUUGGUGCAGCUGUGGCCGGCCGCGGGGCCGUUCGCGGCGAUGCUGUUGAAGCCCU
rnacentral:lncRNA from 1 species